GGAUUGCCUUAGUAGCGGCGAGUGAAGCGGCAAAAGCUCAAAUUUGAAAUCUGGCGCCUUCGGUGUCCGAGUUGUAAUUUGAAGAUUGUAACCUUGGGGUUGGCUCUUGUCUAUGUUUCUUGGAACAGGACGUCACAGAGGGUGAGAAUCCCGUGCGAUGAGAUGCCCAAUUCUAUGUAAGGUGCUUUCGAAGAGUCGAGUUGUUUGGGAAUGCAGCUCUAAGUGGGUGGUAAAUUCCAUCUAAAGCUAAAUAUUGGCGAGAGACCGAUAGCGAACAAGUACAGUGAUGGAAAGAUGAAAAGAACUUUGAAAAGAGAGUGAAAAAGUACGUGAAAUUGUUGAAAGGGAAGGGUUUGAGAUCAGACUCGAUAUUUUGUGAGCCUUGCCUUCGUGGCGGGGUGACCCGCAGCUUAUCGGGCCAGCAUCGGUUUGGGCGGUAGGAUAAUGGCGUAGGAAUGUGACUUUACUUCGGUGAAGUGUUAUAGCCUGCGUUGAUGCUGCCUGCCUAGACCGAGGACUGCGAUUUUAUCAAGGAUGCUGGCAUAAUG
rnacentral:rRNA from 1 species